AUGAAUGCAGAGGUACAAAGAUCUGGGAAUGACUUCAUUCUGACCACCAGUGGAGUCCAGACUGAAGAUGGGAGAGAUUACUACUGUCAGAGUUUACACUAUACUGGUAGUGUGUGGUGGACUUUCGGCAGCGGCACCAAACUGGAGAUCGGCAAAAACGUCUCCCCCACCCUCACGGUCCUGCCCCCCUCUAGCGUGGAGCUGUCCAGCAAGAGAACGGCCACGCUGAUGUGCCUGGCCAACAAGGGCUUCCCCUCAGACUGGACGCUGCGCUGGAAAGUGGACGGUAGCAGCAGGAGCUCGGAGGCGAGCGGCGGGGUCCUGGAGAAGGACGGCCUGUACAGCUGGAGCAGCACCCUGACUCUCUCUGUGGACGAGUGGAACAAGGCGGGGUCACUGACCUGUGAGGCCACCCAGGGCUCCCAGGCUCCGCUCACUCACACACUGAGGAGAGAGCAGUGUUCUGAGUAA